GGAUGCAGAGCAACCGAAACUCUCCUCUUCCUGGUCAGAGCUAAAUUGGUGCAGCCACUUUGGACAAAUGUUCCGCAGUAUCCCUGACACUUCUGUUAAUAUUUUAGGAAGUCAGAAUUUACCAGAGGGAUAAAAGUAACCACGGUGGUGCUGGGAGAGAUUUUGUGAACUCUCUUCUCUUAGGAAGAACACUGGGGUGGUGGGGAGGUGUAGACAAAAGCCCUGGAGAGGUAAAUAAAGGGAUAUAGUGCAUCUGUGUCUUUGAGGGAAACUCAGACGCUGUGUAAGCUUGUUUCCUCUACCAGCAGGGCCACGACCAUAAUAAAUCAGACGUUUGUGAAGCUACGUGGCCUCACUACCUGGCUCUUCUCCUAGGCCACAAAACGGGAUUCAGAAUUUGUGAGCUGGUCGAUUGCUUUUUCUCAAUAAGCGUGGCAGGUAGUUUUCAGUCCCUAUUUUUCAGAUUUCUCUCAUGGCCAUUGGGUCUUUUCCUUGUACUACUCUCCAUUAUGUGUCCUAGACACUUCUCAUCUAUUGGAACUCUCUUUGGG
rnacentral:lncRNA from 12 species